rnacentral:rRNA from 1 species
UACAGAGGGUGCAAGCGUUGUUCGGAAUUAUUGGGCGUAAAGCGCGUGUAGGCGGCUUUGCAAGUCGGGUGUGAAAGCCCUCAGCUUAACUGAGGAAGUGCGCCCGAAACUGCAGAGCUUGAAUACCGGAGAGGAUGGCGGAAUUCCCCAAGUAGAGGUGAAAUUCGUAGAUAUGGGGAGGAACACCGGUGGCGAAGGCGGCUCUCUGGAACGGUACUGACGCUGAGACGCGAAAGCGUGGGGAGCGAACAGG